rnacentral:lncRNA from 1 species
AAAACUCAGCUGGGAUCACAGAUGAUUCCCCCCUAACGAGGUCAGGCCUAAUAACCCACAAAAAGGUCUUGUUGCUAUUUGCAAUUCCCCAAGCAAACUCAACUAGCUGCUCUCUUGUCGUGAUUGCGAUGCUUCCGAAAUUGACAUUGUUUGUACCAUACUUGACCAAUCCCGAAACUACCGAGCACCGGCCAACGCUAUACUGUCAAGGACCCAGAAGAGUUCCCCUCCGACCAGGAGGCCAAUCACUACUCGACACGUGUCAAGAUUAGAAGCCAAUCAGAGCGCAGCACGUGUCGACAUCAAGAACCAAUCAUAACAUGACACAUGUCAAUGUGACAAAGCUACAAGUUUUUCUAUAAAUAGGGGUCAUUCCCCCACAAUAUUGCCUAAUGCCAUUUGUGUUAAAUCAUUCACAAGAACUCACUAAAUUGAGAGCUUGAUCCUUUGUACUUGUGUAAGCCCUUCACUACUAAUAAGAACUCCUCUACUCCGUGGACGUAGCCAAUCUGGGUGAACCACGUACAUCCUGUGUUUACUUCUCUGUCUCUAUUCAUUUACGUACUUAUCCUCACUAGUGACCGAAGCAACCAAGCGAAGGUCAUAAAACCUGACACUUUCUGUUGUACCAAAGUCUUCGCUGAUUUUGUGCAUCAACAUUUGGCGCCGUCUGUGGGAAACGACACUUAUUCCUACUCUCUUCAGCUGUGUCAAGCUGGUUUCUAUCAUUCGUACACUUUCUUUUGAUCAGGCAUCCCUCUCCAGCAUGGGAAGCGAAGGAAGCCACAGCACACAGAAUGACACCCCCCUUGCACAUAGUGCGAAACAACGAAAGAAGGAAGGAACUUCUUCAAGCUAAAGUCGAUGAGUUGGAAGCUCAGAACAACAAGAUAGCAAUGAGGAAUGAGGUCCUCCAGGAGCAAUAUGAGAAGCUCUUCGAGACACUUCACGAAGCUAGGCAAGCUCAGACACGCGAGCUUGUUGCCCCCGUGGAAGUUAACCAUCAACUGGGUGCCCUCCAACAUGGAGGGUCACAUGCAUUCGACAUAGAUAUCCCUGAUAGGGAACAAAUUACCCCUCGAUUUGAUAAUCAACAUGAGGCUUCUCUUAACCCAGUUGCUUCGACCCGAACCAUGAGAAGCGGAGGGAGACACCUCUUUGCUGAAGGGGCAGAAGGAUCGAAAGCCGUCUUUCGCGAUUGUCGGGAUUUCCUGAAGCAACGUCGAGAGAAUUCCAUCCAUAUAAGCUCAAAGAUCAAUGACCCAAGGAUUUCUGAGAGACUCGGUCCCCUGCCACGGCCCGAGCCGGCCACCAACUUGGGGAAGGUGCAACAAGUCCUAGAGAGACAUGAGGGUACAGGGGACUCAGAGGUGUUCCGACAGACAUACCCUGGAAGCCAGUACAGCGAGUCCAGGGAAAAAUCACAUGCCCUUGAUCAAACCUUCCUAAUUCCAAGAGGAGAUGGAGAUUUACGAAAGAAAGCUCCAGUGGCACAUAACUCCGCUCAUGACCCCCUUGUCCUACAACUUCUUGAGGAAGUAAACAAGUUGAAGGCUGAACGUCAGGCUGAAAUACCUGACUGGAACCAACCCAGGCCUGGCCCUCUUACAAGGAGGAUCCUCAACACCCCCCUUCAAGCAAAGACAAAGCAGAAGCUUGGCUUGCAACUUUAUACUGGAAAAGAGGACCCGAUUGAGCACCUUAACCUCUUUGAGUCCACCAUGGCAUACCGGAUGCACACCGACGAAGAGCGAUGUCUUCUCUUCCCCUCCACCCUCUCUGGCGGAGCUCUAAAUUGGUAUUGUCGUCUUACACCUGAGACGGUAGACUCAUUUGAGGAAUUGAGGAAACUAUUUGUUUCCCAACACAUUUUCCAAACCGAUCGCUUGCACUCUGCAGAUGACCUAUACACUAUCUGCCAGAAGCCAGACGAGUCAUUACGUAUGUAUGCUGGCCGCUUCAGCCAUGAAUACUCCCGGUGUGCCGAGACAGACGACAAGACUGCCCUCAAAGCCUUCACGGCAGGCCUACGUGAUUGUUUCUUUAAAUACAUGAUCAAUGCCAAUACUUGGAAGACUUACUCUGAGGUGAUGGCGCAGGCUUAUAACCAUGCCUCCGCCGAGGCAAAGACAUAUCAGGAGAAACCCCCUCACCCAACGCCAUGGAGGAAGAACUAGCAAUAGCUAAAGUUCGACGGUUGGGAAGAUCAUCCAAUGUUUCUCUAGUACAGGACUCUAACAAAGACCCUGAAGACUCCGACAUUGCAGACUCAGACUUAGAGCUAAAGCUAGAAGAGCCCUCAUCACUAGAACUUCCAGGCUCUGACAUCUACAAUAAGAAGAAACAAAUUCUAUCACUACAUGCAUGAUCAAAACAUAAGGAAGUUCCUAUAUUACCCACAGGAAGAUGGUGCAAAGCGAUGCCGGAACCCUUCUCAAUCAGAAAGCAAUCCGUCUUCCACAGUCACUACAAAACAAGCAAAUGAAGACCGUGUCAAGCGCCAAAAAAAAAAAAAAAAAAAAAAAAAAACAGCUUCAUCCAAAAAGCUUCACCCGAAAAGCUUCACCUCCAAAACUUCACCCAAAAAGCUUCAUCCAAAAAGUUUCACCCAAAAAGCUUCACCUAAAAAAGCUUCACCCAAAAAAAAAAAACUUCACCUCCAAAAAGCUUCACCCACAAAGCUUCACCUAAACAGCUUCAUCCAAAAAGCUUCACCCGAAAAGCUUCACCUCCAAAACUUCACCCAAAAAGCUUCAUCCAAAAAGUUUCACCCAAAAAGCUUCACCUAAAAAAGCUUCACCCAAAAAAAAAACUUCACCUCCAAAAAGCUUCACCCAAACAGCUUCACCUAAAAAAGCUUCACCCACAAAGCUUCACCUAAACAGCUUCAUCCAAAAAGCUUCACCCGAAAAGGUUCACCUCCAAAACUUCACCCAAAAAGCUUCAUCCAAAAAGUUUCACCCAAAAAGCUUCACCUAAAAAAGCUUCACCCAAAAAAAACUUCACCUCCAAAAAGCUUCACCCAAACAGCUUCACCUAAAAAAGCUUUACCCACAAAGCUUCACCUAAAAAGCUUCACCCAAAAAAACUUCACCCGAAAAGCUUCACUUAAAAAAGCUUCACCUACAAAGCUUCACCUAAAAAAGCUUCACCUACAAAGCUUCAACACAAAACCUUGCUCCAAAUAAACAAAUUUUGUUCACAAAACCCAAGAUGCCCUUGAACUUGUACAAAAACACUUGGGUAAACAUAAACAUUUUUUGUUUUACACCCACAAGGGCCCAAAAUUUUCCUUCUUAUUUAUUCACUUAUAUAUGUUCCCAAACAUAUUAUAAUAGAUCCAACAACAAGCCAAAGUCCCAAGUUUCAUAAUGGACAAAAGUACAAGCAAUUCAUCAAUAAUGAAGGUGCUACAAAACUUGGAAUCUGCCCCAAAAUAGAAAUCCAACCCAAGAGACUUUUUCUCUCUCUCCCUCUUCCGCCUCCUUUCAUCUAUCAAAUUUCUGCAACCUCUGCUCUUCUCCAAUGGAGCUGAAUUUUGGACACCCUAUAGUUUUUGAGCAUAUGAACAACUUUCAAGAAGGAACCAUUUCUGUUUGAGCGACGGAAAUUAAAGUGUUGAAGCUCCAAACAUGACAGUCGGAUUCUUGCAGAUUUCGAAGCUGCUGUGAUGUUUCGAAGAUCUGGAAAUAUUUAACCAUUAGUUCAUUCUGAAUUUUUGAUAUGUUAUGAAAGAGACGAUGAGGAACAACUUCAAUGAAGAAAGCAAGCUGAUCUGAACAAUAGAAAAUGGAGUUUCGAAGCUCACAACAAAUCUGACGGGUUGACAGAAAAAUAAUAACCAGUCAUUCAUCAUACCUGAAUUUCUUGAGUUAUACAGCUCCGAGGGAUCUCAAAUUUGGAUAUGUUGUAGUUCACAAGCUGAGGAACAACUUCAAUGAAGAAAGCAUGCUGAUCUGAGCAAGAGAAAAUAGAGUUUCAAAGCUCACAACAAAUCUGACGGGUUGACAGAAAAAUCAUAACCAGUCAUUCAUCAUACCUGAAUUUCUUGAGUUAUACAGCUCCGAGGGAUCUCAAAUUUGGAUAUGUUGUAGUUCACAAGCUGAGGAACAACUUCAAUGAAGAAAGCAUGCUGAUCUGAGCAAGAGAAAAUAGAGUUUCAAAGCUCACAACAAAUCUGACGGGUUGACAGAAAAAAUCAUAACCAGUCAUUCAUCAUACCUGCAUUUCUUGAGUUAUACAGCUCCGAGGGAUCUCAAUUUUGGAUAUGUUGUAGUUCACAAGUUAAGGAACAACUUCGAUGAAGAAAGUAUGUUGAUCUGAGCAAGAGAAAAUGGAGUUUCGAAGCUCACAACAAGUCUGACAGGUUGACAGAAAAAUGAUGAACAGUCACUCAUCAUACCUGAAUUUCUGGAUUUGUACUGCUCCGAUGGAUCUCAAAUUUGGAUAUGUUGUAGCUGACAAGGUGAGGAACAACUUCGAUGAAGAAAGUAUGUUGAGAUGAACAAGAAAAAAUGGAGUUUAGAAGCUCACAACAAGUCUGACGGGUUAACAGAAAAUUGAUGAACAGUUACUCAUCAUACCUGAAUUUCUGGAGUUGUACUACUCCGAUGGAUCUCAAAUUUGGAGAUGUUGUAGUUCACAAGAUAAGGAACAACUUUCAUGAAGACGACUUUGCGAUCUGAGCUAUAGAGAAUGGUGUUAUCUUGCAUCCACUCAGGCUGAUUAGUGGAAACGAAAAGCAAUUCCACCAAAGAAAAGAUGAAAAAGAGAGAAAAGCUACUAAUUGCACUUAAUCUUGUCUAGUCAAUAGCAUGCAGCAUCAAACACACAAAAGUUGGAAAUAUUUUUAGAUAAGGCAUAUGCGAAUGUGUGACAUCGAAACAAGGAUUCGUUACUUUGACAAAUUAGUAACAAGCGAGACACCUCAUUCGGCAACUCUCUUCGCCUGAAGACUUGGGGGACUCCCACCAUAUGAUACUCGGCAGUCUCACAACCACUCAGUGACUUGGAUUUUUCAAGUCUCCAACCGAGAAGUUUUCCUCACUCGGGAAAUUAAGGGAACACUACCUCAAACUACAUGCUUCACUCACAAAGCUUCAACAAUACAGGUUUAAACAAAAGCAAAAAUUCAAAGAACUUUAUGAAGAAGGCUUUGGUGUAUUUAACACAAUAUAUUAAAAUGAAGCAAAGCUUAUUUAUUAAUAUUUUCGAUAAGCCACAAAUAUGUACAUAUACAUGAGUCAAAAUAAACAAACAAAAGGGAGCCUUCACAAAGGUUGCUUAGGGGAAGUCUCAGCAGUCGGUAGAGCCCCAGAAGAGAAAGCACCGGAGGGUGGUUAUCCGGAGCCUCAGUACUUGACAAAACCCCAGAAGGAUGAGGCAUUGGAGUUUCAUCAUUUGAAGCUUCAUUACCAGGUACAGCCCCAGAGGACGAAGGCAAUAAAUGCCUUUGGAACAAACCCACAAACCGCUGAUGAUCAAGUAAAACCUUACCAUCAGAUUCCUUCAUCUGGUCAAGCUUCCUCUUCAUGUUUGUAGCAUAGUCAUGGGCGAGCCGGUGCAACUGCUUAUUCUCAUGCUUGAGCCCUCUAAUCUCCUGUUUGAGACUCAUCACUUCAGCAGCCAAUGAUUCAACUUGGCGGGUUCUAGCAAAUAGGCGUUGGGCCAUAUUAGACACAGAACCUGCACACUGAACACUAAGAGCCAGAGAGUCCUUAACAGCCAACUCAUCAGACCGUUUGGAAAGUAGUCUGUUAUCUUUGGGAGUGAGAAGGUUCCUGGCCACCACUGCAGCGGUCAUAUCAUUCUUCAUCACAGAAUCCCCAACGGUAAGAGGACCAGUAAGGGAUAUGAAGGAUGGGCGCCAUAUGUUGUCUGGAGAAGGCGUGGCUGUCUCUUCUCCAAGGUUCAGGUCAAAACGACGGUCGGAGGGUCCAGACAUUUUCAAAUGUGUUGAAGAGGGAAGAGGUCAGACAAAUCAAGAUCUUAGAAGUGCAAGAAAUGAGCUUCUACUGGUAGAGAUUCAAGUGUGCUGUGGAACUUAAUGCCAGCCUCUAUAAAAAUCUGCACUCGACGGAGCUUCAGAAAUCGAAGAGGCGUUUGCUUUCUCAAAAGCUGGGCUGCUCAGAGACCACGAGGGCCGAUCUCAGAAAUCGAAGAAGCACCUGCUUUUUCAGCCUCGUCAGCACCUGUCACAUGCACACUCAGCUUUGCGGGAAAUUACGGGCAAUCUGUCGAAGAUUUCUGGUGAAGUAGAAAGCACGUGAAUCUUACUGUUCAAUCACCGCUCUCCAUAUGCACCAUCAACUCCUCGGGUACCACAUAUAACUUUAUCAAAGAUCUCUGACAAAGUUUAGGCACGAGAAUUUCGAAGUUCCAGCUACCCUACUAUUACCCAUAAGGGUAAAGGAACAGCACCACUGCUUGACAACUGGAAAGUCCCUAUGUGUGUCGACCUCCGUGUUUUGCGGCAAGACAGGUUGGCAAGAACGUCCAACCUUUACUCACAUUCGAGAAAAGACUCCCAACAUAAUUACUUUCUCAAAAAACCGGAGUAGCACCGCUUUCCGAAUCUCGAGAUUCAGAUCCUCGACGGGAUUGCUUGUUCGAAAACCGAAGAGGCACAACUCUCAGAACUUCGAGAGCCAGAUUUCCUUAGAUAAAGCUUGUCUGUAAUCUUCACACGUAACAUCAGCUUUCCAGAUACCACAUACCACUUUUUCAAAGUGCUCUGACAAAAUUAAAACACGUGAAGCUGGCAGCUCCCACUACAUUGCUGUGACCAAGAAGGGUAAAGGAAUAGCAUUACUACUUGUUAUUGGGAAAUCCCUAUAUACAUUGACCUCCCUCCUCAACGGACAGGCAAACCUGCAAAAAUGCUCAACCCUUUCUCGCAUUCGAAAAGGCACCCUCAACAUAACCUCUCGAAAUACUCAGCUUUAUUUCCCCCCGAUAAUACCUCAGCAAAUAAGCCACACCAAGAACAAGAGUAUCUCAUAUCAUCAGGGUCGAAAGCAAGAGUAUCCCAUAUCAUGCUUUCUCCCUAUCUUUGUCUUUGUCCUUGUCCACACCUGCAGGACAAGGAGAAAGAGAGCAGUCAGUCGGAACCUGAAAUCAAACCUCCAAUUUGGAACUGACUGCCUGGAGCCUUUGCCUGGUUGCUUACUUAGCAUUGCUCUCGAGUACUCAUCCUCAACUGCUGUCAAGGUCACGAAUUCCACCGGCAAAUACCUCAUGACAGUUGAUCAGAUAUUGGCUCUUUACACUGAAGCUGCCAAGCGUGGAUGAGUCACUAUGAAGGAAUGUUCUGAAGGACCAUUUAAAUGCAAAGGUUGCACACCACUUCUGCCAUGCAAAAGAUUGAAGCAGAAGGUUCAACGGUGAGCUGAAACAGAUCACUACAGCACGACACCUUUCCAUACCACAUUCAUUAUUCCGUCAACAGCAAAAGUAUCCCAUAUCAUCAAGGUCGAACGUACUCUAGAUUUGAUGGACUUGUUUUGACCCUCAAAUUUUUGAGUCGGCCUUAUACUCUGAAGGGCACCAGAAAACCCUCCAGCACAGUUCAAGAAUAAGCCUGUGGAAAGUUACUUCUUCAAAAGCAAAAGUAUCUCAUAUCAUCUCUUAUCCAUUUGCUUCUCCUUAUCCUGGCAGUUGAAUGAGAGACAAGGAGAAGGAGAACAAUCAACCGGAAGCCGAAGUCAAACCUCUGAUCCUGGGUUGCUUACUUGGAAGUUUGACUGCUUACCUUGUCUGUCACCUCUUUCGGCAGAUCUCCUAGCUCGGCGACUUGGGGGACUCCUACUAUAGGGUUUGUAUCACACUUGACUAAGCCCGAAACUACAACUAAGCUUCAAGUGAAAUUGAUACAUUACCUUGUGCGUCAACAUCAGCUAAAUACACCAUUCCCGGAUGGAGGAAAGGUACUUCCAGAGAAGGGCAGAUGAAGAUCAGACCACACUUCGGUACUUAGAAGUUUCGUGAUUACUCAAGGGAUUGGAUCUUGCAAGUCCCCAACCGAGGAGUUUUCCUCACUCGGGAACUUAGGGGAGCACUGUUUGUACCAUACUUGACCAAUCCCGAAACUACCGAGCACCGGCCAACGCUAUACUGUCAAGGACCCAGAAGAGUUCCCCUCCGACCAGGAGGCCAAUCACUACUCGACACGUGUCAAGAUUAGAAGCCAAUCAGAGCGCAGCACGUGUCGACAUCAAGAACCAAUCAUAACAUGACACAUGUCAAUGUGACAAAGCUACAAGUUUUUCUAUAAAUAGGGGUCAUUCCCCCACAAUAUUGCCUAAUGUCAUUUGUGUUAAAUCAUUCACAAGAACUCACUAAAUUGAGAGCUUGAUCCUUUGUACUUGUGUAAGCCCUUCACUACUAAUAAGAACUCCUCUACUCCGUGGACGUAGCCAAUCUGGGUGAACCACGUACAUCCUGUGUUUGCUUCUCUGUCUCUAUUCAUUUACGUACUUAUCCUCACUAGUGACCGAAGCAACCAAGCGAAGGUCAUAAAACCUGACACUUUCUGUUGUACCAAAGUCUUCGCUGAUUUUGUGCAUCAACAGACAUAAAUAACAGAAUUGGGUGCCUUCGAGUCAAGCCAUUCAAGACACUCUGGUUCCUCUAUCCAUAGGUUCGAUUCUAUCGAAUUCAACUCGUUAUCCGCUGGGAUUUGUUUGAGUUGUAGAUUUAGGGGUCCAAUGGAGUAAAU